rnacentral:rRNA from 1 species
UACGAGUGCCUUAAGCGUUAUCCGGAAUUAUUGGGCGUAAAGGGUGUGUAGGCGGUUUUGUUAGUCUUCUGUCAAAUUCUUCGGCUUAACCGGGGGUCCGCAGAGGAAACGGCAAAACUUGAGGAUGCGAGAGGUGAAUGGAACUCAUAGUGUAGGGGUGAAAUCCGUUGAUAUUAUGGGGAACACCAAAAGCGAAGGCAAUUCACUGGCGCACUCCUGACGCUGAAACACGAAAGCGUGGGUAGCGAAUGGG